UCACUCUUGUUUCUUUUCAGAUCGCAUAAAUCUUUUCCCUUUUACUAAACAUUUCCGUGGGGAGGAACAACAAGAGUAUUACUCCAUUUUUUAAAAGCCCUGCGAAAGCGAGGCU